rnacentral:rRNA from 1 species
CGAAAGUCUGAUGGAGCAAUACCAUGUGAACGAUGAAGGSCAGACAGGUCGUAAAGUUCUUUUAGAGGGGAAAAAUUUGAUGGUACCCUCUGAAUAAGUGACAGCAAACUAUGUGCCAGCAGCUGCGGUAAUACAUAGGUCGCGAGCAUUAUCCGGAUUUAUUGGGCGU